GCGCUUGUAGCUCAGCUGGAUAGAGCGCUUGGCUACGAACCAAGAGGUCGGGAGUUCAAAUCUUCCCAAGCGCGCCA
rnacentral:tRNA from 2 species